GAACAAAUCAUUUCACAUGUGACCAACAUGGCUCCGAUCGAAGGCCGCAACGAGUCGUCAAUUUUUGAAGGUUGGGAAAAAUGGCAAAUAGCUCUUGCGGUUGGAGCACCUGUUUGCCUAGGACUUGCGGGACUUUGGUACUACAACAGAGUGAAAAAUUCGAAACCAUCUGGUGACGACUCGUCGAAAACGAAACCACCUGCCAAAGAAAAGGUCAAAACUUCAGAUUCUUCCAAACUGACAUCUGGAUCACAAAAGGAAAAUGAAAAUAAGGAUACACCACUUGGAAAAGCUAUAGAGUUCAAGAAUUCUGGAAAUAAAAACUUCAAACAAGGGAAGUAUGACGAGGCAAUAAAAUGUUACACACAAGCACUAGAAGUAUGCCCAGCUGAACAUACAACAGAAAUCUCAACAUUCUAUGCAAACAGAGCAGCGGCUUAUGAAAAAUUGAAAAAUCCAAAGCUGGUAUUAGAAAACUGCACAGAAGCAAUUAAAUUGAAUGGUAAAUACACAAAAGCUUUGAGUCGAAGAGCAAAUGCCGCAGAACAACUUGGAGAUUUACAGCUAUCUCUGGAAGAUGUUACAGCAGUGUGUAUAUUAGAAGGGUUCCAGAAUCAAUCAACACUGCAAAUGGCAGACAGGGUAUUGAAAAACCUCGGUAAAACCAAGGCAAAGGAGGCUUUAAAGAACAAGAAAACAGGGAUGCCGUCCAAACACUUCUUGAAGUCGUAUUUUGCCUCUUUCACAAAAGAUCCUGUCCAGGAAAUCUUCAAGAAAAACAAGGAAGAGAAACAGUCUAAUUUACCAGAACAAUCAGAUGAAGAAGUGAAGAUACUGAAUGUGCCAGAUUUAGGUGGUGCUGGGGACCAGCCAGGUGUUUCUGUUGUGAACGGGGAAUCAGAUUCAUCAGACAGUAGUUUUAGAAAAGCUUGUGAGAAAUUGGAGGCUGGAGAAUAUGAAGAAAUCAUUCCAUUGUGUAGACAAGAAAUAAGUGUUUCUCCACCCACCCAUCACUGUCAGCUGGCCCUUUUGCUGCGUGGAACCAUGUUCUGUCUAACUGCGCAGUCAGAUCAAGCAUUCAUGGACUUAGAUCAACUUUUGAAUGCUGAAAAUUUAGAUAAAAAGAUUAAAGUUAACGCAUUGAUAAAGCGAGGUAGUUUGUUUAUAACAAAGGAGCAACAGACUGAUGGACUGGCUGACUUUGCUCAUGCUGUGCGAAUAGACCCAAAUAAUUCUGAUAUUUAUCAUCACAGAGGACAUCAAAAUAUUCAGCUGGAUAGGCUAGAAGAUGCAAUAAAAGACUUUGAAUGCAGCAUUUCCUUAAACCCCGAUUUUCCUAAUUCAUACAUACAGAAAUCAUAUGCAGAACAUAGACGUGCAGCUGCGGAGCAGAGCACAGGGAAAUUAGAAAAAGCCAUCAAAUCUUACGAGGAAACACUAAAAAGAUUCCCACAAAAUGCUGAUGGUCAUGCUUUGUAUGCACAGGCAUUAUGUGACCUUGGAAGGUUUGAUGAUGCUGAUAAUGAAUUUGAAACAGCAAUUAAACUAGAACCAGACAAUGCUAAUACUUUAGUACAUAGAGCGUUGUUAAAGUUACAAUGGAAACAAAACAUAGAGGAACCUGUAGCAUUAAUUAAACAAGCAAUAGAUUUAGAUGACAAGUGUGAAUAUGCUUAUGAAAUCUUGGGAACUAUUGAAGUACAGAGAGGCGACAUGGUAAAUGCAGUGAAACUGUUUGAGAAAGCGAUAGAGUUGUGUCGAACCGAGACAGAGAUGUCACACCUGUUCUCGCUCCUCCAUGCUGCCAAGGCACAACUAAAAGCGGCACAAACACUUGGAAUACCUCUACCAGCUAAUUUUUCACCUAUAUAACUAUGGAAACAAAGAGAGUACUGAUUGCUUUCUCUAGAUGCAGAGUUGUGUGAAUAUGGUUAUUAGUAGUGGUAAAAGUGUUUGUUGUGAUAGAUAGCAGGGGAUUGAAUAUUUUCCUAACAACUGGGAAAUUUUUGUUGAAAAAAAUACAUACUUGAUGAGCUGUAUUGUUGCACACUGUAUUCAAGACUAUAUACAUGUAAGCUAUACUGACUGUGAUAGAGAUAGGUAUAUUUACGGAUCACAAGUUACACAGGUGUGGUAUCAAUGUUGUGUAACAAAUCCCAUUUGUUUAGCACUCAUUUGUUAUACACGUAUGUAGAAAUAAUGCAGUGUAUAAACUUUGUAGCAAAAUUGAAACUUAGUCUGAGGUUUUAAGAUAUGAGCUGUGCCAUGGGAAAACCAACAUAGUGGCUUUGCAACCAGCAUGGAUCCAGACCAGCCUGCGCAUCUGCGCAGUCUGGUCAAGAUCCAUGCUGUUCACUAAUGGUUUCUCUAAUUGCAGCAGGCUUUAAAAGCGAACAGCAUCCGCGCAGUCUUGUCUGGAUCCAUGCUGGUCGCAAACCCGCUAUGUUGGUUUUCUCAUGGCACAGCUCAUAUAUGUUUUGUGGCCUUUUUGUUUGUUACUGAUGUGUCAAGCUUAGAACUGAGAUGCUAUUUUUGUUUCUUAGAAUUUAUACUAGUAUUUUAAAGUAGAUGUUGUUUGCAAAACAUUAUGAGUUUGUUCCACUUUGAAAUCUAUUGUAAAUAGAUGAUUAUAUAUGAGAGAACAAAACAACAUUGGACCAUUUCAUUAGGCUGUAAAUAUAAGAUUUUACACCAAAAUGAUGUACAAUUUAUUAAACAUUUGUCAGUGUAGAAAUUGUAGCGUGUUUUUAUGAGGUGAAACUGAACUGUAUAGUGAUGAAUGAAUGUUUUAAAGUUCGUAAAUUUUCGUAAAAGUUUAUGAUUUCAUGCUAGAUUAAGCUAGUUUUGUGAAAUGUAUGGAUUGGAAGAAAAUCUAUGUGAAAUAUAUAGAGCUUGAUAAUCUAGUUUUAUAGCUGUAACUUAGAAAAACACAACUUCUCAAGUUUUGUUAAAAAGUAUUUUGGUAUUUAUAAAAAUGCUUUUUCACAAAUGUCCUAUCUGAGUAAGUAUAAGAAUGUUGCAUACUGCAACCCCCUUUUGUUGACAAUUGCACUGUUCAUCAUAACUUACUUUAUUGACAUUACAUUUUCAUAAAUACAUUGUUGAAAUUAAUAAAAUGAACAAUUUUGUAAACCUGAAUGGCCUGCUACAUUUAAACCCAAUGUUGCUUGUAAAAACUUGUAAAUCUACAUGCUUUAAAUGACGUUAGAUUUAUAUUUAACAAAUAUGUUUAGACCUUGAUGGGAAGUUGUAACGUUCUGGAUUUUGAAACCACAGACAGAAUGUGUGGAACUUUAAAAUUACAUUUCGUCUUGAAAGCUUGACAUUUAAUCAAUUAAUAUUUAUGUCAUCUUAACUGACUGGUCUGGUAUUGGGUGUACUUACGUUCUCCUUGUUUUAUUAUGCCCCCCUUCGAAGAAGGAAGGUUAUAUUGUUUUGCAGAUGUUCGUAGGUCGGUCUGUCAGAUGGUAUGUAGACCAAUCCGUUUCCAGAUGAUAACUCAAGAAUGCUUAGGCCUAGGAUCAUGAAAGUUGGUAGGGAGCGCAUUUCGUGUUCUGCGAGCUCUUGUAAUACAAUUAUAUUGCUCUAUACAUAAACACAUAAAACAAAAUGAAUUUUACUUGGAAUAUAUGCAUGUAAAGAAAGAGAAAUUUAUUUUUAUUUAUUUGAACCUUAUUUUGCUAGGUUUUAUUGGCAGUAAUAUUAAAGGUAAAAAAUGCUUUUAGAGAAUGAAAUGUAUUAUUUUGUGAAACGAUGAAGUGAGUAUUGAAAGCUUAUUUUUAUCUCGAUUUAGUAGAGCAAAGGAGGCAAUUAUCGACCCCUUAAAACCAUAAUCUAUCGUACAUAUUCUUACUUUCACUUUCGGAGACAAAGUGACACAUAUAUUUGAGACAAACUAUCAUUGGUCGAUUUCAACCAAUGAAAACACUUGUUACAUUACAGAAUAAGGUAUGGUCUAAUAUUCUGUCUUGUGACAUGUGUCUGCCAUUAUCGACCCACUUCUGCUAUUAUCGACCCCCUAGUUGUUUUUUUUUUUAAACUUUGAAAACACUGAAAAUCAAGCAUAAUAUUAUUAUUAACUUAAUAUUAAGUUAAUUUUUAUUUGUCCUUUAUUGUCAUAAUUGCAAUUUGAAAUUACGCAACUGAGCAUAUAAACAAAGCAUAACUUUACUACGAUUUCAUGGAAAAUAUUAUUUCAUGUGUGUUUUUUUUUUAUUUAUAAAUUUGGUCUUUCAUACUAUCACAGUUUCAUAUUUGGUCUUUUGACUGACAAAUUGUAAAUGUUAGAUAAUAGUUAUUUGUAAUAUAACAUUAGCCACACACAAGAGAUAAAUAAUUCAAACAUUCAAACAAAGUUGAUUAUCCAUUAUUAUCUACAGCCUUUACAACAUAUUUUAGCAUUCAAUUUUUAUACAUUUAAAAUUAACUUUUUUUAAGUCCUCUGGAGUCAACAAGUGAAGUUCUGGUUGCUUUGUACAUUUAAUAAGCCACCAUCCUGGGCAUUCAUCACAGCCUUUUCACUCAUUUGGCUUCCCAUUAGACUGACCACACCCCUGACAUUGGUCUAAGCUGUCUGCACUGUCCAUCAUCAUUUUGUCCAUCAGAGGAAUCGUCAAAAUCGUCAUAACUGUCACUAUCAUCAUAAAUGAUAGAAACAUCAGACUAUGACGAACUUUCAGAGACUCUGCGCUGUUUUUCUUUUUAUUUUAGGAGAUUUUUAAUCCUUGUGAUCAACUAAAAUGUGCAUUCAUAACUUUAUCAUGAGUCAUCACAGAACAUUAGGGUUUCUAACUGACCAAUCAGAGAGCUGCAUUUUAGAGUACCUGCCAGUUUCCACUUUGGUAUAACAAAGUAUAUUUACAAUGAACAUAAUAGUGACUUUAGAAAUAAAUAUCACACUAUUUUAAAAAUAAAAUCAAGAUUUGUCACUGCACAUGCUUCAGAUGAUGCUACAAACAACAAAACUUUGAAGUUUCAUUGAAAUGUUAUAUUGAUUUAAUACCUUUAUUUUAGUUAAAAGUUUGAGAUUUUACACUGAGAGUCUAUGAUAAAGUCCGAGUAAAAUGUAAUCAAUACCCAAGUGAAAUAAGUAUCAUUCCACAAUGUUUUGGACAUGUUAAAGUUAUGAAUUAAGUGCUUUUCUCAAAGCAACAAGAAAUUAUAUAAAUUUAAUAAAUUGGGGGUCGAUAAUAGCAGAAGGUCAUAUUUUCAAUCUGCUAUUAUCGACCCCCACAUAAUCUUUCCAGAAGUUGCAAGAGACUACAAAAAUGGCUGAUAGAAAUGAGUUCUAUAUGUGUAUAGUAGGAUUAAAUACAAAAUUAAACUGAUUCGAUCCAUAAAAACGGUAAAUUUGAUUUAACAGAAAGAUACCUACCUUAACGGACUAUGUAGUGGUUGGCACUGAAAUUUAUCUCAUGCAGUCACACUGUAUGUAAACAUACAAAAUGGCGCAUGAAGAAAAUUUGUGACGUAAAAAUGACAGUGAAUGACAUGAUCACAUGAUUUCUAGUAGUAAAUGUGAUUAAGUAUCAAUUAAGGGUGGGGGGUCGAUAAUAGAAGAGGGUCGAUAUUAGACUCCUUUGCUCUAGUAGGACCAAGAUUAUAGCAAUGAGUUGGAAACCAGUCUCUUGCUUGAGUUUUGUUUUCAAGACUGAGCUCAGAAUAAACCAGUCAGAUGCUAGAGGCUUGAGACUGGUUUACACUCUCAGUUUUAUAACCUUGCUUCCAGACUAAGAUUUAUUUACUGUCUGCUAGUACAUUAUAUCUGUUUAUUAUAUACCUAUAUAAAUUCUGUCAAAAAUACGACUUGUAUUUUACAAGUAAAUACAAACAGGCAGAAAAAAAUCCAUAUUGUACCUUUUGUAUUGUAAGUUACCGGACUACUUUCAUUUAAUAUGCAUGAACUGACACAGUUCUAUAAAUAGCGCACACAGAAACUACAUUGGUUCUGUUUUAACAUUGAUAAACUGUUAAAACAUUGAAGAUUUUGUUCGAUAACAAAAUGACAAAUGAAAAAGGUGGUAGUGCAUAAUAAAAGGGUCAUUAUAACAGUUGCUAGAUCCGGGAUUUUAUAUUCAGUUCUCUUGGAUUUUGCUAGGUCGGAUCACACUUGGCGCUUGCGCACCACAUGUUAUCUGACCUGGCAAAACUCAAUCGAGCCGAAUACAGCAUCCCAGAUCAAGCUACUGUUAUGAUAACUCUAUUAUAUCUGAUAGUACAGUUACUCUUCCUAGUUAAAAGUAAAUGUUGUAAAAGAGUAUGUUUAACCAUUGAAUUCUUUAUUAAUGAUUCAAGAAGUACUGAGUGUUAUCAGUGUUCUUGCAUAUCUUUUGUUGCUGUAUGUGUUUAUACGUGCUGAAUUGUUCAGUAAGUUAUGCCAAUACUUUGUUAUUGAAUAAUAAAACAGACAUGUGUAAAACUGA